CAAUACCGCGUGAGGGAGGAAGGUCUGUGGAUUGUAAACCUCUUUUGAUAGGGAAGAACACAAUGACGGUACCUAUCGAAUCAGCAUCGGCUAACUCCGUGCCAGCAGCCGCGGUAAUACCAAUGACGGUACCUAUCGAAUCAGCAUCGGCUAACUCCGUGCCAGCAGCCGCGGUAAUACGUCUAUUGUCAAAGCCUGGGGCUUAACCCUGGAGAGGCGGUGGAAACUGGUUGACUUGAGUGCGGUAGGGGCAGAGGGAAUUCCCAGUGUAGCGGUGAAAUGCGUAGAUAUUGGGAAGAACACCGGUGGCGAAAGCGCUCUGCUGGCUUGACCCCUCCACGGGGACGAAAGNCCUAGGGGACCAAAAGGGGUUUAGAUACCCCGGUAGUUCCUAGCCCGUAAACCGAUGGAUCCUGGGUGUUGUGAGGUAUCCGACCCNUCACAGUGCCGGAGCCAACCGCGGUUAAGUAUCCCGCCUGGGGAGUACCGCACGCAAGUGUUGAAACCUCAAAGGAAUUGACGGGGGCCCGCACAAGCGGUGGAGUAUGUGGUUUAAUUUCGAUGCAACGCGAAGANCCUUACCAGGACUUGACAUGUCGCGAAUCUUCUUGAAAGGGAAGAGUGCCUUCGGGAGCGCGAACACAGGUGGUGCAUUGGCUGUCGUCAGCUCGUGUCGUGAGAUGUUGGGUUAAGUCCCGCAACGAGCGCAACCCUCGUCCUUAGUUGCCACAGUUGGGCACUCUGAAGAGACUGCCGGUGACAAACCGGAGGAAGGUGGGGAUGACGUCAAGUCAGCAUGCCCCUUACGUCCUGGGCUACACACGUACAUACAAUGCUACGGACAAAGGGCAGCUAAACAGCGAUGUCAAGCUAAUCCCAUAAACCGUGGCUCAGUUCAGAUUGUAGGCUGCAACUCGCCUACAUGAAGGCGGAAUCGCUAGUAAUCCCAGGUCAGCAUACUGGGGUGAAUUCGUUCCCGGGCCUUGUACACACCGCCCGUCACACCAUGGGAGUUGGCCACGCCCGAAGUCGUUAUCCUAACCUGCAAAGGAAGGAGAUGCCGAAGU
rnacentral:rRNA from 1 species